UUGAAUAAAGUUUUUAUGCACAAACGGCAGCUCUGUCAUGCUCGUGUAACAGCUCUAUAAAUGUUUAUCAGAUCCAUUUAUAUGGAUAGUGAUAAGAUAAAACACUGUGGUAACAACCAACCUGAUGCCUUUAGUAUUCCAUCCAGUACUAAAGGCAUCUAGUUGGGUGUUACCACAGUGUUUUUUAUCUUUUAUCUUUUUUAUUAACUUUUUGCAGAAAUACUGGAGCUUGUCUGGAUGAAAAACAAGUCUACAAGACUUUGUCCAAUUUGACCGACGGCCUUUUUUACAGUUUUUUUUUUUACAGCAUGGGAAAAUUGUCACAAAAAAGUCCAUAACAGGAAACAUAACCUACUAAACAUCAUAAUUAAGAAGGAUUCACAAAUAAUGCAAUAAAUCAAAUGACUGAAUAUAAAAUAAUAGUUAUACAGUUCAAACUUGCUUCAGUGCAGAAUAAGGAUGUUGAUAAAUAUGUUUGGGUGGUCAUAAAUAAAUACAUAAAUACACCUUGAUGUGAGGCUGAAUAUAGUCUGAGAUUUUAAUAAUGUGUCCACUGAUGUCGAUGGUAAAGGACAUUUGAGAUAAAGAUACAGGUGGUUUUCAGCUGAAUGACUGUUUUCGUUCAUUUCAAAAAUUGUCAUCUUUUUUAGUGUAACAGAUGCCAGUGAGAGACAUCCACACAUUCCUCACAGAGCUUUGCAGGAGAUAUUGGACAUCGUGACUUUAGAUGAUGUGGCCAGCAAAGAUGUGGAGGACGAGGGGAGAUGCUGAAACAUGUCCUGUCCUGGGACACGCACAAGUAGACAUCGGCCACACAAACUCACUUUUGUGAGCACUGGCUCCUACGCAGAGGCUCUGGAUGGUCCAUUAGUUCAGCCACAGACCUGUGAGUGGGUGCACAGGAUGGUUGUUGUUGCUUUGAAGUGUGAGGAGCCAGUGGAAAAAGCCACCUUGUAAACGUUGGAUUGACACAAAGACCUGGAACUGGAUAAAGGAGCUGGAGGGGAACAGAGAGGAUGAGAAAAAAAGCGUCCUUUAGUUACUACUCACAGGCUGCUGUUUAACAGAACAUUGAGGAGGUCCUGCUGAAAGAGAAACCCUUCAUGUGUUUCUUCCUUUGGAGAGCUGCUCAGUUUCCAGUCCAGAGAAAAGCCAAAGUCAGCUGGGGACUGCCAACCACCACCCACCGUCUUUCUGAUGUUAAUGAACAUCCGUUUAUACGGAGCCUACUUUUCUACACAAAUGUUGGCAAAGCACUUGGCUCAGUGUUUUUGGCCAAACACACUGUGACAGCUCCUCGCACCCAAACAGAAAAUGUGUGUCAAAGAAACGUAGGUAGUCUUUGCCAUCAUCACUUGCUGCCAGAAAUAAAACAUGAUUACUGAGCUUGUAUAGAAGCAGAAAAGGGCAUGUUGCUGUAUUGUAUUGGACAUGUUUUGUCAACGCAGCACAUCAAUAGACACAAUGUAAUAUUUUACACUUUAAGCUAAUAUUAUAUGCUGACUAGUGUACCAUACCUGAUCCAGUCAAUGUAAAACAACAGGGAUUAUUGUUUCCCGCAGUUUUAUUGAAAAUCAUCACAGAAAUGUUGAACUGUUUUGCAUCAAUAAAAGAAAAUUAGAUUAAGAAAAAAAUCAA